UACGUAGGAGGCGAGCGUUGUCCGGAAUUACUGGGCGUAAAGAGCGCGUAGGUGGCGCGAUACGACCGGUGUGAAAUCCUCCGGCUCAACUGGAGGGGGUCACUGGUAACGGUCGUGCUGACGAGUGCAGGAGAGGGACGUGGAACUCCGGGAGUAGCGGUGAAAUGCGUAGAGACCCGGAGGAACACCGGUGGCGAAGGCGGCGACCUGGUCCUUGACUGACGCUGAGGCGCGAAAGCGUGGGGAGCAAACAGG
rnacentral:rRNA from 1 species